CCUUGUGUACCACAUGUUGCUGCACCUUUGACCCAUUUAUUGACACAUUUUCACCUCCCUUUCCAUCUCUAUGGAAUGUACACAAUCAUUCAUACCCCCUAGCUACAAGACCACUCCAUUUUACCCUUCACACUUUGCAUCAUCACUUCAUUUUCACCCUUGGACCAUUGCACACCACAUACACUCUUUGCCGUGCAUUCUCCCUAGCCUAACAUGAUUCUCUAAGGUUUUUGGGGCCUAUAUAUACAUGUUUACACCCCUUGGCAAAGGGUUCACACUCUCAUAUUC
rnacentral:lncRNA from 1 species